GCUUACGGCCACACCUCCCUGAGCACGCCCGAGCUUGUCUGAUCUCGGAAGCUAAGCAGGGUCGGGCCCGGUUAGUACUUGAAUGGGAGACCGCCUGGGAAUACCAGGUGCUGUAAGCC
rnacentral:rRNA from 1 species